GCAUAUCAAUAAGCGGAGGAAAAGAAACCAACCGGGGAUGCCCUAGUAACGGCGAGUGAAGCGGCAAGAGCUCAAAUUUGAAAGCUGGCUCCUUUCGGGGUCCGCAUUGUAAUUUGCAGAGGAUGCUUCGGGAGCGGUCCCCAUCUAAGUGCCCUGGAACGGGCCGUCAUAGAGGGUGAGAAUCCCGUAUGGGAUGGGGUGCCCGCGCCCGUGUGAAGCUCCUUCGACGAGUCGAGUUGUUUGGGAAUGCAGCUCUAAUUGGGUGGUAAAUUUCAUCUAAAGCUAAAUAUUGGCCGGAGACCGAUAGCGCACAAGUAGAGUGAUCGAAAGAUGAAAAGCACUUUGAAAAGAGAGUUAAACAGCACGUGAAAUUGUUGAAAGGGAAGCGCUUGCGAUCAGACUCGCUCGCGGGGUUCAGCCGGCCUUCGGGCCGGUGUACUUCCCCGCGGGCGGGCCAGCGUCGGUUUGGGCGGCCGGUCAAAGGCCCCUGGAAUGUAACGCCUCUCGGGGCGUCUUAUAGCCAGGGGUGCCAUGCGGCCUGCCCGGACCGAGGAACGCGCUUCGGCUCGGACGCUGGCAUAAUGGUCGUAAGCGACCCGUCUUGAAACACGGACCAAGGAGUCUAACAUCUACGCGAGUGUUCGGGUGUCAAACCCGUGCGCGCAGUGAAAGCGAACGGAGGUGGGAACCCCUCGGGGUGCACCAUCGACCGAUCCUGAUGUCUUCGGAUGGAUUUGAGUAAGAGCGUAGCUGUUGGGACCCGAAAGAUGGUGAACUAUGCCUGAAUAGGGCGAAGCCAGAGGAAACUCUGGUGGAGGCUCGCAGCGGUUCUGACGUGCAAAUCGAUCGUCAAAUUUGGGUAUAGGGGCGAAAGACUAAUCGAACCAUCUAGUAGCUGGUUCCUGCCGAAGU
rnacentral:rRNA from 1 species